ACAAAAUUGAAGCAGAGAAAGAUCAACAAGGAUGACUUAGUGAAUUAUGGAUGAUUAAUUUCUUUUUUUAAAAAAAUUGUUCAGAUCUGGAAAAGAUGAAGUGUUUAAAAUGAGAGAUGGAGCUAGGUGAAAACCAAAUUCAAUUUAGGCUGCUGGAUAUUGAUAAAAGAUGAAAAUUGAAGGGUGGAAAUUUAUACUAGAACAAAUGUGUCUUUGAAUAGCAUCCAACAUAGCAUGUAUAUUUCAAUAGCAUUUUAACCAUAGCAUGUUUUGUAUUAACUUUUUUUUGCGUGUUACGCUUCUACGCAAACCCUUCCCCUUUCUCUCCAUCUCCACGGAAAAAAAAAUCCCAAAACCCCCAUUUGCUCUCCAUGGCCACAAAAGACACCUUUGUUUUCUUAUCAGAUGACGACGACCUAGGAACUUGACGGCGGACCAUAAUGUUUCGAUCGGGAACACGGAAGUUCUUUAGUGAUCCACGCAAACGAUGACCCACACCAACGUGAACGUCGAUUGUUGAUGACUCACGACAAACAACAGUAGGUGUUCCACGGCGGUCGGAUGUACUACCAAUUGUGUAGUGCUAGUUACUUUCGGGCUUCCUUCAUUCAAAUUUGUACUUCACUUCUCAUUAAUAUAUCAUCUUCAUUUACUUAGAGCUUCCUUCAAUUCCUUAAUGGCCAUUGUGAAAGACGAUCCCAACUGGGAUGGGUUGCUCAAAUUGAGUCUCCCUUAUUCCAACAGAACUUGCCUUAAUCAUAAUCUCAGGUAUUCUCUUUCUUUCCAUCAUUAAAAUGUGUCGAUUAAUCAAGAACUAAUGUCUAUUACUCUCCUUUCAUGUCUCAUGUUUCUGUUACUAUUAGAUUAUUUAAGCUAUUGUGAUGCUUUUGCAUUCUAUAACUGUUGUGGAUGUUAUUUUUAUAGAUUAUUUUUGUUGCAAUCAAUAAGAAUCAUUAAGCUAAAGGGAUGAAGGAGAUGGUAUUUUCUUAAGACCCAUUUCAAUAAUCGAAAUUGAUUUGCUGGGUUUAACUAAAUUUACAUAUACAUAUGGAACUAAAUUAAAUAUAUAUGUUACAUAUAUAUUUAUGUUGCAGAUGGAAUUUGAAGUUGGUGGAUAAAUAAUAUAUAUCUUAGAAUUUGGCAUUUUGUUCGGGUACUAUUCUUGUUUGUACUCUUUUACUUGAUGGAUUACAUUUUCUUCAAUAAUUAAGGUCUUUAAGGAUAACUAUUAGGAAUAGAACUUUGCUUCACCGCAUGUUUCUCAUUUUCGAAUUUAAUUCCCUCAAUUUAGGAUAUGGUCCCUUCAAGUUUUUUGGUUCUAUCAAGUUGGGAUAUAAUCUCGAUAUUAAGAUUCAAUUUCUUGGCUUUUGAAGACUUCAUACUCUCUGUACUAUCUUGGCUUAGAGGUGGCUUAUGAGCUGGCUUUCUCUGCUCUGCUUUGAGGAAUUCCUUUUCAUCAUUUUCUUAGAUGUAUCAAUUCAGACUUUGAUAAACUGAAAGCCACUCUCAAAGGUUCUAUAAAAUUAAGGUAUAAUUUUUUUCCAAUGAAGAUUCUACGGGUUGAAUAUGAUAGCAAAUUGUGUUUUUCAUAAUUAAAGUUGCUUAGAUAAACAAGGAUAGCCAGAAAAGUUUAGGCUAAAUCAUAUAUUUCUUUGUCCCCCUAAACCUAUGUGCUAAUUUAGUAUAUAGAAAGAUUUAAUCAUUUAAUAUCCUUGGCUUUGUUCAAGUUUGGUUACUAAGUAAGGACAAUCAAAAUCCUUUUACUAAAAGUUAAUUGCUUAAUUUCUAAUCCAUUUGCAUUAUUCAGUUUGAAUUUAGUGAUGAUCCUUUGGUUAUGUUACUUAUUGUACUUGGCGUUUAAAGUUGACUCCUGAUGUGUUUUGAGUUUCAAUUGAUAGUUUAAAACGAGUUUAGAAUAAGCUAGGCGAUAAGACCAAUUACAAAGUUUUAAGUUAAAUAGCGUCCUAUCUGCACUACUUCCUACGUUUUAGUUGUCUUGUGGAUCAAGGUGUGACACCCCUGCUAUACCGGACAUUGUCAGUUGUCCUCCCCAAAUUCAAUUUCUAAAACCAAACAGAUUCAAGUAAGAAAAUAGCUUUACAGUGCAGCUCACAGGUGAUAUUGCUGAUAGAUAACAAACUGUAAGAAAGGUUAGACACAUAAAAAACCUUCUGAAGAGUGAACCUGUCUAAGAGAACUAUUUGUCAUUUUGUUAGCAAUCAGGGAUAAAGAGCCAUCUACUGUUCUGAUUUUCUCAUUACUGGCACAAGGGGUAGAAGAGACAAAGUGCUUCGAAGAAUCUAUCAAGUGGUAUGUGGUCCUCAAGUCCAAAAUCCAGAAAUUCUUCCCAUCAACACUAAUGACCAAGGGACUGAGGCAUACCUGACAAAGCAAUGGCACAAAGAGUAGGAGGAUCGGUCUGGCUAGUAGUAGGGCCAGUUGACUGACAGGUGCUGGCAAUCUUCCUAACAUCGGUACGCCCUGAGUGCUGGUUGGAGGAACGUUUGUUACCUCUUGGGGCCCAACCAUGGAGUUUCCAACACUCAUCCUUGGUGUGCCCAUUAUUUCAGCUUGCAGUGCUCACAUACUAGGAGAAUCGAGCACUAAGGGCAACAUAGUUAGUUAUAUAAUUUGAAGGUUUGGUUAAUCCCAGGACCACAAACAUAUGGUUGUCCAUAACCGAAGGGUGCCAAUGACUUCUCCACUUCAAUCCUUGAUCUUUUAUGGAUUUGGUUAGCUCUGAUCCCAUAGAAGAAAGGUUGAGGGUCGACAGAUAGAUUUGCAUUGUUGUACAAAUUUGACGGUUGCUAUCUGGUGGUAAUGGGUGGCGCAUGCGAUUGCGAAUGAUCGAAAGGGUGGGAUGGUUGGACAGGCAACGACGUGUAGAAAUGGAUGGGAUGGGCAGUAAGAUGAACGAACGACGGUGUGUGGUCCCAUGCGCCUAACAGAAGCGACACAAUGGGGUAGUUUCUAGCCAAAAGGUUGCAUGGACGGCGGCGGGGGUUGGCCCACUAUGUAGAUCGACGGCUUCUGAAUCCGGUGGAGUAGUUUUUCCAUAGCGGUGUCCACGGCGGCGACGAUUGCAACUUCUGUUUUAGUUUUGGUGUUUCCUAAAUUUUAUUCUAGGGUUUCAUUAUUGCUUCUCUCUUAUACCAUAUUGAAAGCAAUAAACACGAAACCAAGGCUUAGGUGGAAACCCGAGAACCAGGAGAAAAAUCAUUAUGUUUUUAGUUUUAUUAUUUUUAUGAUGAAUAAUACAAUAGGUACAAGGGAGAAUAAAUAGAAUAUACAAUAAAAGAAAAAAAAAGAAAAAAAUUUAGCUAGGAAUUAGAAAAAUUAUUCCCGUAAUCUUUUCAUAAAUAUUCUAAGAUUCUAACCGGCAAUCAAGUUUCAUAGUCAGUUAAAAUCUUAUUGUACCCUGCUAUUCAUGAGUUACACAUAUUCAUAAUUUCAUUUGAACUAAUAAUUAGAAGCUUCAUUGAUUUUACCAUACAGGUAAGCUAGCAAGGCGCACACACACCAAUAAUAUAUAUUACAAAGUUACAAAAUUGGUAAA